CCACCACCAGAUACCUACCCCACCACCACUCUUUCCACAUUGGAAGAACAGAAUACUGUGUAGUAUUGUGCACGCAUGCCAGUUAGGAGUAGAACUGCCCUAGGGUCACCUUCACAUCAGUGUCAACAGCUACAAACAUAAAGUCCUUAGAGCAGUCACAUCCAUACUCUCUGGAAGAGAAUUCAAUUUGACCAUCUAAGUUCCAAGGGAUCGUGGCUCUGCGGGCGUCUUUCUCUGUGUGGCUGACUGUGACUAUUACAUUAGGGUCAGUGAGCUAAGAAGUACGUGUGGGAUUCACUGUGUUAGGAAGGAGUUUUGCAGCCAAGACUGCCUUGAAUAAAAAUGUUUUUGCACUGAAAAAAAAAAACUUUAAAUGACUUGGUCUCUGGUUGCUGUAAAGGUCAUCCAAGAUGGAUGUUCUGUUUAUAUUGUAUAGUAUUUCAUAAGAAAUAACUGCAGUUCAUGAAACGUCUUCCCUAAUGUUACUGAUUUCUAACAGCACAUUUGUAACAUGGUUUUUAUCGUGUCCGUGUACCAUACUGUAAAUGAUGAUUCCUUGUCAUGCUUAGUAUAAUAAGUUAAAAGGAAAAAAAAAAAGGACAGGGAUUUUUGUAAGUCUAUAUUUGAAAGUCCCUCCAUAUGGUAAUAUUGUGUUCAUGUUGUUUAUGUAGUGUUGUGUGAAAUAUCCAUUUUGGAUUGUGUUACUUUUUAAGAUAUUAAAUAACAUUUGGUUAU
rnacentral:lncRNA from 1 species